AGGGCUGAGAACCAACAUUCUAGUCUUUUUAUUAGCUUUAUUAGCAUUGAUCUUAAGAUCCCCUACUCUAGGAUGUCAGAAUUUCAGGGAUAAAGAGAUGGUUGGUAAAAGCUACCUUUGUCAUUUGUUCAUUCACCCUGACAACAUAUAUAUUAAGAUGAUGGAAUGAAAUGUUAUAUGAAGAUCUCAGGAACACCAACCAAUAACACAAAGCCCUAGUUCUCAAGUGACUGAGAGUCUAGUAUAAGGGGGAAAAGACAGGUGAAAUGCUAUAUUAAAAGAUAUACAAGAAAAAAAUAAGGCCAACCUGAUAUCCCACCAUCACCUCAAAAGCAACACAUCCAAAAGCUUCUCUCUUCUCUCCACACAUUUUCCUAGUCCUUAGAUACUAGGACCACAAUCCUAGAAAACUAGGCUUGGAUAUUAGCCUGGCACUGACUCCUUCCCACAUGUCUUGAGUUGACAAAUCGUGUGGGUUUUCCCUCAACAGUAUUCCUUACAUCUGCAUCCUCCUCUGGAUUCUCACUUUAUGCCUAUAGUCUUAUUUAAUGUUGGUCUAGAAUACAAAUACAGUGAUAUAACUUGACUCCCUAUACAUACUUCCUUAUUGCAAAACAUAACUCUGGUCAUGUCUAAAAAUCUCCAGUGAUUUUUUUUAUGUAUAAGAAUUUUAAAUUACUGAUUUUUCAAAUUCUAAUAACCUCCACUAUUUGUCCAAACCAUGUAAGUAUUUAUUCUGGUAGUUUAUAUGAAUACUAUUAAGAAGCAAUGAAAAAAAGCUAACUAAAUAUUUUACAGGAACAGAAAACCAAACACUGCAUGUUCUCAUUCAUAAGUGGGAGUUGAACAAGGAGAACACAUGGACACAGAGAGGGAAACAUCACACACCGGGGCCUGUUGGAGGGUGGGGGGUUAGGGGAGGGAUAGCAUUAGGAGAAAUACCAAUCAUAGAUGAAGGGUUGAUGGGUGAAGCAAACCACAAUGGCAUGUGUAUACCUAUGUAACAAACCUGCACCUUCUGCACAGGUAUCCCAGAACUUAAAGUAUAAUAAAAAAUAAAAAUAAAUAAAGAUUUCAUAUAUGUCAAACACAAACGUUUAUGAAUAUAUUACAAGGAGGAAUGCAAAAAGCAAAAAUGUAAAUUUACAGUACAUAGUAUGGGAAUAUUAAACAUCGUUCCAAUAUAAAUUAUUCAUAGAUUCAAUUAAAGUAUUAUUAAAAUAGCAAACAAAAUAGUAGAUUAAGUGGAAAAAACAAUUAAGAUAAUUGAAAGCAAAAUAAUAUUCUUGGAUUUUAUAGAUUUGUGAUGUAAAGAAGCAAAGCUUCAUUUGAUCCAUUUUGUUGUAAUUUUUCUAACUGCUCCCAAAAUUCUUUUAACAUCUACACUACUCAGGGAAACGCUGUAGAGGACCCUGUAAACUAUUUCUGCAUAUUUUCCUUUGAUUCCUUCAUCUUCAGAUGAUCCUACUUUUUUCAUAAAUGCAAGAUCUUUGUUACUACCUUUUUUUCUUUUCAAGAACUGGAAUAUUUUUAAUUAAGUUAGACCUAUAAUUUUUAUUUCUUUUUUUUUUAACAUUUCGUUUGUAUUUGCCAUCUUUUGUUUUUUGUACUUGGAGAUACCUAUGCAGAGUUACCGCUCUCCCUAUCAACACUGUCUUAACACAUGUGCCAUCAGAGUAGGAUUAUUCCUGCAAAACAAGUUUGCAGCACCACAGUAUGUUUGCUUAUUAUGUGUGAACCAUUUGUCUGUCUUUUUUGUAUAAAUUGAACAAUUAAACGAUUGAUUUUACUUGUAUGAUGUAAUAAAUGUCGGAAUAAUAAAACAAUAUUAUACUAACAAAAUUACCAGUACUUUGGACUUCAAAUUAAUAUGACAUUAUUGAAUGCUGAAAUACUGAAAGCCUGUAUUGAAAUCCCUGGAUUGCAUUACUAAUAUCACAGUACUUCUUAAGAUAAUGGUAUUUUUACUAGGUGGACUUUUCUAAGUGAGGCACUGUAGGUACAGUGGUCCAAAUUUACAUAAUCCUCUGAAAUAUUCUGUAAUUUAAUUAUUGUGACUCUAUUGUAAAGUAAUAAAAUUGCUAAGAUUAUAUAGUUUCCCAUCAGAAGAAGCAAUUCCUGUUAUUUAGUUAGUGUUUUUGCAUUAGAUUGAAAUGUCAGAAGGUCAUUGGAAAGUUUGCUAAUAUUUUUUAAAUUGUUUUUAUUCUUUGCAUUGUUUCUGAGAUUAAAAAAUCAUUUAACAUAAUGUAUUGUGUUUUAUUUGGAGAAAAUUCUUUGCUACAUUACUGUUCAUUUGCAACAUUUACAUUUUACAUAUAUGACAGUAAAUUUUAUAUAUAUAUAUAUAUAUAUAUGCAAAAGGAAUUUUAUUUCAAGGAGCCCAGUUUUAAUAACUUACUAUCAUACUAUUGGUGGCAAAAAAUUAAAAAAAUAAAUUUUCAUUUUACAAUAUGAUUUUUAGGAUUUUAAAUUUUAUUUAUAUUUCUAAUUUCAUAUACUUUCCGACAUUUCUCUAUCAGAACACACACAGACAUAUUCACACAUAUGUUUACAUAGAUGUUCUGACUUUUGCUUGAAAAUUUUGUUCUACCCAGAAUAACUCCAUUCAUCCUUUCCAUCUUUCUAAAUCUUAUCCAUUCUUCAAAACACUGUAUAAAUCCUGCCUAUGCUUCUCUGGCCACGGUAGCAUUAAAUCUUCUUUCCUUCUUCUGGAUACCUUUGGUCUUUAAUAUUUGUAUCAUUAAUUUAUUAAAUAUGUUCAUUCUCUUAAUAGUUCUUAGAGUUAUGCUGCUUAAUAUUUUUUAUUUAACUUUUAUAUGCAGUGAUUUAACUGUAAACUUUUUGAGGACAGAGUGCUAAGUUCAUCUUUAUCAAUUUGCUCUCUAAUUGCCUUCUGUAAAAACUAGUAAAUAUAAGAGAAACAAGCAAUAAAAUCCACACUGCCCAUAUCUUACAUUUUAUAUGGGAAAGCGAUAAAAUUUAAAAUAAAUAUAUUUAUUAUGAUAAUGUUGAGUAGGGAUGUUAAUUCUCCCAUGUGACAUGUAUAUGGGUAUAUAUGUAUGCUUGUAUUUAUAAAGAAACGAUUAUAACUUAAUUCUCAUUAGCCUCUUACAGCUUUUCAAAAUUCAUUCUACUGUGUCUUCUCAUGACUGAUAACUUGGAAAGGUGAUUGACUGCCAUUAUAGCCCUUGUUUAUUUAGGAGGAAACUGGUGUUCAGAGAAUUAUAACUUGAUAAUAAAGAUUUGAUCCUUAUUAAUUGGCUAAGGAGGUGCCAUAAUUAGAGUCUAGGAGUCUUCUAAUCCAGUUUCUCUCAAAAUAUCUGCACUGAAAGACCAGCUCCCCACCCACCCCCAAUAUGCCGCUAACCAUUAUUUUUUAGUAAUAUAAUUGAAUUACUAGAAAAAUAAAAAAAUAAGUUAAACAAAACACAAGUCCAAAUAUUUUAUUACUAAAUUAAACCUCAUUAAAUUACUUUAACAAAUAGCUCUAAGAGUUCCUAAAUCAUUCAUCUCAAUGCGCUUAUUGUUUUGGUUGGAUAACAAAUAGCACAUGGAACAGCUCCAGUAUCUGGAUCACACUUUGAGUAUUGUUUGUGUCAAUCAUGACAUAUCCCUUCUAAAAGAAUCAUCCUCAUCCAGAAUAUCUGCCAUCUAAAUUGCUGUUUACUCACACAGGAUCUAACCCUAAUGCUAACCCAACCCAAACACUAAAUUUACAGCUGAAUGGAGUGGGGCCAAAAAAUAGAUUGGCCAGCAAUUUUUGAACUGUGUGGCCAGGCUGCAAAAGAUGAGCUGGGUUCAUCAGUAUUUUUGUCUCUGGGCUUAGAUAUAAUAUGCGAAGAAAAAAAUUUUCUGUGAAAUUCCCAGGUUUGGGACAUGGUUAAAAUGUGAACGAGCAGAAACUUUGAGUAAUCCGUGAAAGCUGGAUGGGGCAGGGCAGAAAGAGGAAUAUGUGCAAUGCAGCUGAGUCAUAUUAAUAGUAGAUCACUAAAGAUUAAAGAACUGCUGGGCCAGUCACAGUGGCUCAUGCCUGUAAUCCCAGCACUUUGGGAGGCCGAGGCGGGUGGAUCACGAGGUCAGGAGUUCGAGACCAGCCUGGUCAACAUGGUGAAACCCCAUCUCUACUAAAAAUACAAAAGUUAACUGGGCGUGCAGGUGCACACCUGUAAUCCCAGCUACUCGGGAGGCUGAGGCAGGAGAAUCGCUUGCACCCAGGAGGUGGAGGUUACAGUGAGCCGAGAUCAUGCCAUUGCACUCCAGCAUGGGCAACAGGGCAAGACUCCAUCUAAAACAACAACAACAACAACAACAACAAAGAUUAAAGAACUGUGCUGAAGCUGAAAUAUAUAAAGCUGCUAGAAUUCUAGAAUUACCCCCAAUACCCCUUAGCCCAAGGAAUGAAACAUCAUUUUCUUUGAAUGUCCUAAGAUACAGAUCCCACACUUCUUACAAUGUAUGUCUAUAUCCUAGCUGGCACAAGUAUGUCUCUGAAUUAUUCAAGAAGCUUAGCUUAACCAGGACAUAGUCCCAGGCUUUUCUUAUUAUACCAAACAAGCUUAUUUCAGAACCAAUAGAAGCCAUAUUUGAAAGGCAAGUUAUUGGCAUCCACAUCUCUGCAAUGAGACUGUAAACCAAACUGUGUUGAUCUGGUAGAACUAUCUGUUUGCUACUAAAAUCUGUCUCCUACAUACCUACUUUUCUAUUGCUUUGUUUUUAACUUAGUCACAAAAAAGAAUAAUUACAACAUUUUUUAUAGUUAAUUAUAGUCUGAUUUUGCUCAAGGAGGAAAUAUCUUAAAAUUUAUACCAAAUUAUCUCAAUAAUGGAUGAGCUCCCACAAUUCAUCUGCCCUCUGUAUGUUCUCCGAUUUGCAGAGCUUUUUAGAGCCAACCCCUACUCUUUAAUAGGCCAGACAUGUGCUUUUAGUUGUACUAACCCAGACACAUAUCAUAUAUUAACGGCUUCUGGAAUCACCCCAGAAAUCAAAGGUGUAGGUAUGAGAUUGAGUGCACAGUGAUUUUCAAAACGUGUUUUAUUGCUUGAUGCUUUUUUUUUUAAAAAAAGGAAAAUGUUCAGAUAGAUUUUAAUUCCUUAGCUAUAUUAAAAUAGCAUAUUUGCUUCACAGUUUAAAAGUUUGUCUUAGUACAAAAAUGAAAUCAUAGCUUCCUUUUUUAUUCUUCAGUAAAUUCUAAAUUUUAAGUUACUGCUAAAUUAAAUGGUUUGUGUCAGAUGUUAACAAUAUGCAGCUUUAGAUUAAAACAAGCUCCAUGUAAUCUUACUGAGCCAGUAGGUCACAGAAAUAAGAGAAAAUGUGCUUGAAUCACAGGAGAGAAGGGAUGUUGGAUAGAUCUGUGAAAUCUUUAUGUUGUAGUAUCAGCUGAUUGAUAGCAGUGAUUCUCAGAAGGGUUCCAAUAUUAUGCCUUUUAAAAGCUGGAGAUUAGUGCAACCAUGGUGAAUACAGUGACAUUCUGGCAAAGAAAAAAGGGUCAGGGCUGGCAAAAUGUGGCAGGUGUCAAAAUAAAAGGUUAGGCUCUAUGCCUGGGGACCCAUCUGUCAGAUAAAAGUAUGACAAGGCAAUUAAUGUGUUUAUUUAUGUUGCUUAUGACAAACCAUGCAUUCCCUAAAAAUGAUCAAUUUAAACAUUAUCAACUGUUUUCUGGAAAUUAAAAUUAAUAUAAAAAUAAAAUGCUUAAAAUAAAAAGCAUAGUGUAAUAUUGAAAUGGGUUGUUUAUAUAACCAAAUAAAGUUAACUUGGGGAAUUAUAGUAGUCUUCAUUGAAGGAUUAGAACUAUUAAAUAUAACAUCUUGACAAUAUAGAGGUUAUAUUAAGGAUCCACAAAACUGAUGUUUAUGUUGCAAGAUAAUCUUGGUAGCACUUCUCAUAAGUUCAGCAUGUUUUAUAUUCAUUGAGCUAAAUUUGAUAAUUUCAUAAUAAAAUGAAGCCAAGAAAACUAUGAAGAAAUAGAAUUUAGAUAUCCAAGCUAUGCGUCUUGCAUUUUCUUUAAAUGUUUUGUUCACAACCUUGUCAUUAUUAGAGCUUUCAUUUUCACUUUGUGACUAAUCCUGACUUCUCUUUAAUUUAUUUAUUAUUUAUUUAGCUUUCUCACUACUUCUGUUUUACCAUCUGUUUAAACUAGAAUAUGUUUAGAUUUAAUAUUCAUCGGUGAUACAUUUUCCUGCAGAUAAAAUAAACUACUACAAGCUCCUAAAAUGUCAUGUGUUUUACUGGUCAAUAAAAUCUAACCCAGAAUUUUGAGAGAAACCAUUUACUACAGUCUAAAGUUUUAUGCAGAAACUGAUCAUCUCCACUGUUUCCUUGAAUAAAGAAGCUGUCAAUUACCAUGCAUUAAUAAGUGAGGCUCACACCUUAUAGUAACAACAAAAUUAGAAGAGAAAUAAUAUGUAUGUCUAGUGUAAUGUGAUAUGCAGAAGAAAAAUUUAAAUUCUUUAAUUGUAAAGGAAAAAAGCCAAUAUGACAAUGUUAUUGCCAACGUGCACUUUCUGUCUGCUGAGCGAUGAAAUUAACAAGUAAAGCCGUUGGAAUAGUCAAUAAAAUCAUUUGGCUUUGGAAAGAACAGUGGUAUUUUGUUCAAUAGUUUUGUUUUCUUUAGGUUGAGGCAGCAAUUAUGCCAUCAUCAUCACUUUCCAUCUUUUAGAAGGGUAUUGGUUAAAUUUUGAGUUAAUGAUUUUUUUUUCUCCCCAAGAUUCCUUUCUAGCCCCUAACAUUACUAUAGUCUUAAACUAUCUUCUGUUUGCCAUACGAAAUAGCUUCUCAUAGGACAACACCAAUGUCAGGGUAGGAGUUGAGGAAGAAAAAGUAAAUAAAAAUACACAAAAUCCAAACUUUGUUAUAUGUUCCAUUCAGUGGCCUUAUACAUGAUUUACAAAUUUUGUUUGCAGUUUAAUUAUAAUUAACCACUAUUUAAAUCAAAUUCACUCCUGGCUGUAUUUCCUGAUUCAGAGUUCCAUAUUGCUUCUAUUGCUGGUUUUAAUUUAUUUGAACCUCAAUCUUCAUUUCCUAUCCAUUUUUUUUUCAUUUGCCUAGAGGUACUUGAAAAUGCAUUCAGAAAAAAAAAAUUCUUACUCACCAUUUUGUACAACUCUUCAAAACUCUAGGAUAUGCUACAUAAUCCACAUAAUAAAAGUAGUAAUUUCAACAGAAAAUCAAGAUGCCACUCGAUUUUGCCAUGGAUUUAUAAAAAUGACACAUCAGACAACAGAAGCAUAUGAGAAAAAUUUGCUGAGUAUCUACUCACUUCAAUUCAAACAUUUGAAGAAAUUAUGAAAAUUCCGAUGAGUUUUUAAAGUCUGUGCUUGCUCUGGUGUAGUGUAGCCAUGCAUUGAUCUAUCAUCACACAGAGUCUUACACUAUCACCUAGGCUGGAGUGCAGUGGCAUGAUCGAGGCUCAUUGUAAUCACGCCUCCCAGGAACAAGUGAUUCUUGCACCUCAGACUCCGGAGUAGCCGAGACCACAGUUCCUGAAACUGAGUAUGUUGCAUCUUUCUUGUACCACACAGCCAAAAGUGGAAACAAUUCAAAUGUCCAACAACUGAUGAAAAGAUGAAGUGUGGUAUAUCCAUAUAAAGGAAUAAUAUGCAGACAUAAAGUGGAAUGAUUGACACAUGUUUACAACAUGGAUGAACCUUGACAACGCUAUGUUAAGUUAAAGAAGCCAGACACAAAAGGUAAUGUAUCAUAUGAUUCCAUUUGUAGGAAAUGUCCAGAUAGGCAAAGCUAUAGAGACAGAAAGUAGAUUAGUGGGUCGGAGGCAAGGGAGAAUGGGAAAUAAUUGUUGGGUACAUGGUUUUGGGGUGCUGAAAAUAUUCUUGAAUUAAAUGGUGGUGAUGGCUGCACAAUAUUGUGAAUGUACUAAGAAACACUGAAACAUAUAUUUUAAAAAGAUGAAUAUUAUGAUAUGUAAAUUAUAUCUAAAUUUUAAAAAAUUAAAUGAUAAAGCUGCAAAUCAAAUCUGCACAUGAGUUUUUAGAAGUCUUACAUAUAAUAGCCAAAAACUGAAAGCAACCAAGAUGUCUUUUGGUAGGUGAAAGGUUAAACAAACUGUUGUCUAUCCAAACAAUAGAAUACUAUUUAGUGAUAAGAAGGAAGGAGCUAUCAAGUUAUGCAAAAAUAUGCAUGAACCUUACAUGCAUGUUAGUAAGUGAAAGCAGUUAGUCUGAAAGGCUACAUAACUUAUAGUUCAAUGUAUACGACAUUCGGAAAGGGCAAAACUACAGAUUCAGUGAACAGACCGGUGGUUGCCAAGGGUUCCAGGAGAAGGCAGGUUUAAAUAGAUAAAAUACAGAGGAUAUUUUGGUCAAGAAACUUUUCUGUAUGAUAUUAUACUGGUGGAUACACGACAAUUAAAUUGUCAAAACCCAUAGAACUUUAUAGCCCCAACAGUAAAGCUUAACACAUGUAAAUUAAAACAAAAUCAUUUAGGAGAUUAAGAAAUCCCAUGAUGGAAGGCAAUGUGUGACAGAAGAAUCUAACUGUACUACAAGUGAAUGAAAUAACCUCACUGAAGAAAGUAGGGAAAAAGGUACUAAUGGAAGCAACUUCUGAAGUUCGUGGAGUCCACAAAGCUAGAGACAAAAGACACGGUACCUAAACAAUAUAGUGUAGUUGACAAAGUUGCUUCCCACAGGGUUAUGGCUUAACAAUUCUGAUACUACCAUAUAUGUACACUGGAACUGAAGAAUUAAGUAAAUGGAUGGUGGGAGCCAGGUUUCUCACUGUUGGAGUGGGAAGUUACAAAAACACUAGGGGUGGUUAGAAUGCUCAAUGUGGCAAUGGGUUAAAGUUGGAGACAUUAGUAUGAACUCAUGUUUAAUUUAGCAUAUUAUUUAAUUUCCUCUAUAUAUUACAGGUGGAUUAUGGAAAUAUUUACAGAUAAGUGUACAUACAAGGGUUAGUAUACAUAAAUUUUUUUUUGCUCUGUCAGCUGAGAAGACCUAGAAAAAUGACACUCCAGUAGCAAUAAGCACACCUAGUGCCCAGAUCUUGGUUUCUAAUGUACUUUUCUCCAAUUGAAGGAAGCAAGUUACCCUGGGAAAAUGGUUGAUUCCAAAACUGAGGCUGGGAAUAAACAAGAUAAACUUAGGGCAUAUUGUAGUGCCAAAAAGUAAGGAAGUGU